rnacentral:rRNA from 1 species
AUUGAACGCUGGCGGCAGGCCUAACACAUGCAAGUCGAACGAGUGGCGGACGGGUGAGUAAUGUCUGGGAAACUGACUGGUGGAGGGGGAUAAGUACUGGAAACGGUAGCUAAUACCGCAUACCAUCAGAUGUGCCCAGGUGGGAUUAGCGUGUUGGUGGGGUAACGGCACACCAAGGCGACGAUCUCUAGCUGGUUGGAGAGGAUGACCAGCCACACUGGAACGGAGACACGGUCCAGACUCCUACGGGAGGCAGCAGUGGGGAAUAUUGCACAAUGGGCGCAAGCCUGAUGCAGCCAUGCCGCGUGUAUGAAGAAGGCCUUCGGGUUGUAAAGUACUUUCAGCGGGGAGGCGUUACCCGCAGAAGAAGCACCGGCUAACUCCGUGCCAGCAGCCGCGGUAAUAC